rnacentral:rRNA from 1 species
GGAAUCUGCCUGAUAGUGGGGGACAACCCGGGGAAACUCGGGCUAAUACCGCAUACGCACUACGGUGGAAAGCCGGGGACCGCAAGGCCUGGCGCUAUCAGAUGAGCCCAAGUCGGAUUAGCUAGUUGGUAGGGUAACGGCCUACCAAGGCGACGAUCCGUAACUGGUCUGAGAGGACGACCAGUCACACCGGAACUGAGACACGGUCCGGACUCCUACGGGAGGCAGCAGUGGGGAAUAUUGGACAAUGGGCGAAAGCCUGAUCCAGCGACGCCGCGUGGGUGAAGAAGGCCUGCGGGUUGUAAAGCCCUUUCGGUGGGGAAGAAAAGCCUCGAGUUAAUACCUCGGGGUCUUGACGUAACCCAUAGAAGAAGCACCGGCUAACUCUGUGCCAGCAGCCGCGGUAAUACA